AUUGAACGCUGGCGGAAUGCUUUACACAUGCAAGUCGAACGGCAGCACGGGGCAACCUGGUGGCGAGUGGCGAACGGGUGAGUAAUAUAUCGGAACGUGCCCAAUCGUGGGGGAUAACGUAGCGAAAGUUACGCUAAUACCGCAUACGAUCUACGGAUGAAAGCGGGGGAUCGCAAGACCUCGCGCGAAUGGAGCGGCCGAUAUCAGAUUAGGUAGUUGGUGGGGUAAAGGCUCACCAAGCCAACGAUCUGUAGCUGGUCUGAGAGGACGACCAGCCACACUGGAACUGAGACACGGUCCAGACUCCUACGGGAGGCAGCAGUGGGGAAUUUUGGACAAUGGGCGCAAGCCUGAUCCAGCCAUUCCGCGUGCAGGAUGAAGGCCUUCGGUUGUAAACUGCUUUGUUACGGAACGAAACGGUACUGCCCUAAUACGGCAGGCUAAUGACGGUACCGUAAGAAUAAG
rnacentral:rRNA from 1 species